rnacentral:lncRNA from 1 species
GCUCGCUCUCUAAGAGGCAGGUGGAGCGGGCAGCGCGUAGAGACAUCCGCACAUCGUUUGGCAUUACAUUUAUAUCAUUUCAUAUAUGGAGAUGAGACAGUGAAUGUUUCUGUCUGCCUCUGUGUCACUUCUCUUUUUUUUCACCAUAUGUUUUGUGGAUUUACAAAAUUGACUUUUGUCGUCAUGAAUUAAAUUUUCUUCUGCUGCUGCUGUGUGUGUGUGUGUGUGUGUGUGUG